AUUGAACGCUAGCGGCAGGCCUAACACAUGCAAGUCGAACGGCGUGGCGGACGGGUGAGUAAUAUGUGGGAACGUGACAUGUAGGGGGGGAUCACUACUAGAAAGUGUCGCUAAUACCGUAUCAUAUUGGAUGCGCCGAUAUGGGAUUAGUUUGGUGGGGGGGUAACGGCUCACAAAGGCAACGAUCCAUAGCUGGUUUGAGAGGACGACCAGCCACACUGGAACUGAGUCACGGCCCAGACUCCUACGGGAGGCAGCAGUGGGGAAUAUUGGACAAUGGGGGAAACCCUGAUGCAGCCAUGCCGCGUGUAUGAUGAAGGCCUUCGGGUUGUAAAGUACUUUUGGCAGGGAGGCGUUACCUGCAGAAGAAGCACCGGCUAACUACGUGCCAGCAGCCGCGGUAAUUC
rnacentral:rRNA from 1 species